rnacentral:lncRNA from 1 species
UUCAUCAGAUUUGUGGAAAUGUAGCAUUGCAUCAGUGUCUCAGCAAUGGAUGCUCUGCAGUGAAUGGGUGCCGUCAGAAUGAGAGUCCAAACAGCUGAUAAAAACAUCACAAUAAUCCAUAAGUAAUCCACACCACUCCAGUCCAUCAGUUAACAUUCACUGCAGAGCAUUAAUAACUGAGACACUGAUGCAAUGCUACAUUUCUUCAAAUCUGAUGAAGAAACAAACUCAUCCUAAUCUUGGAUGACCUGAGGAUGAGUCCAUUUUAAGUAUAAUUUCAUUAUUGGGUUAACUAUUACUUUAAAUAACACUAUAUUUGCAAUACAUGCUUUAAGUAAUGCAAAACACUGUUUGAAAAAGUAUGUCUGUCGGGCUUAAUGCAAGUUACAUGCCAUGAAAGGUGCACACAUAGUUUUUGUUUAGUAAAUUGAUACUGAAUCUAGGUUAUAGAUGCACUUUGGGAACCGUAUAUAGAUUAAUUAUCUGUAUGUAAAUGUGAUUGUCAUGCAAAUUUUCAUGCAGAACUUUAUAAUAGUUCUCAAUAAUCCAUUCUCAAUCACCAUUUAACAAUUCAUGAGUGAUAUUGAGUGAAAAACGUGUAAAUCAGGACUCACUUUUUAUGCAGCAGAAAUCACAUGCUGCAGAUGGCAGAUGUGUGAAACGGGUUGUGUGUGUGUGUGUGUGUAUACCGUUUGAGGUCACAGGAAGGUACGUGAUAAUGUCAUCAUUCAUUUCAGUCACAUUUGAUGAAUUCAAGAUCGCAUCCAGAUGUGUCAGUCAUUUUUAUCAGGAUGCCAAUAAAAUUGAUUCAUUGAAGUUUUAUGGUGUUAGUGCUCUCUUUAAAUGGUUGUUUUUCUAAAAAAAAAAAUAAAGACCUGCAUGACUAUUCAAUGCAACCAAACAAUAAGAACUGCCUUUUUCAUUAAAUGAGAGAAUACAGAUAUCAUGCUCUGUAAAGAAUAUACAGUAAAUUACCAUAAAAAAUAUAUUUUUUGAAAUAAAUUAAUGCUUUAAUUCAGCAUGGAUACAUUAAAUGAAUCAAAAGUGACAGUAAAGACAUUUAUAAUGUUAUAAAAGAUUUCUGUUUCAAAUAAAUGCUGUUCUUUUGAUCAUUCUAUUCAUCAAAGAAUCCUGAAAAAUAAAAUGUAUCACGGCUUCCACAAAAAUAUUCGGCAGCACAACUGAUUUCUGAAGAUCACGUGACACUGAAGACUGGAGUAAUGAUGCUGAAAAUUCAGUUUUGAUCACAGAAAUAAAUUACAUUUUACAAAAUAUUCACAUAGAAAACAGUUAUUUUAAAUUGUAAUAAUAUUUCACAAUAUUAACAUUUUUACUGUAUUUUUGAUUAAAUAAAUACAGCCUCGGUGAGCAAAAGUGAUAUGUGACUGGUACAAUCCCAUUAUCAUGACUAUGAAUUACAUGUAAUUAUUAAACUAAUAGGUCAAGUAUUUGAUAAAUUAACAAAUCAACCGUGUAUUUUCAUAUUAAACAUCCCUAAAUGUAGGGUUUCUGAGUAUAAAAAAUUAUGUUAAGUAGUAUAAAAUAUUAGAUAAAAUACUACAAAACUAUUUUUUGAUUUAUUUACACUAGUACAGACCAAUUGUACAUUAGAACACAAUUAUGCAUCUUUUAAAGUUAAAUACAGUUAUGAAGAUCUGUGGUUUAGCAUUAACAUGAACACACACACACCUAGAUUCAAAGUGAAUUAUUUGAGUAUUUUAGUUUAUAUCCAGUGAUCUACUAAUGACAGGAACAAACGUGUGUCUCGUUCGUGUUGAUUAGUGGCUUGCAUGCGUGUUUGGUACAGUCACAUUAACCUAGAUGAGCUGGGUGUGAGUACAGAAGGACAGAGAGAUUUAUGUCAGUGUGUGUGGUUAGUUUGUCACAUGCAAAAUAUUCAUGAACAAGAUAGUGAUGAUCUGAAUUCUCAUACAAAGUGAGAUUAUGUUGAUAGAGGCCAAGAGGUCAGAAGAGGGCGUGCCCUGUUACUAUAAAAUACUGUUCAAUGCUGGCCAGGAACACCCAAUCACAGUAAAGAUUAAGUGGCCACGCCCACCUUAACGGUUAGCACUGAUUGAAAUUGAACAGGAGAUCAAAAGCAUGUGUUUGUGUGUGCAAAUGCAACACACUUAGGUUGAAAACAGCAUGUUGAAAUUUAACAUUCAAUGAUGUUAAAUGUUUCACUGGACUUGAUUUUAUUAAUCGGGAAUUGGUUGGAUGGUGAAAAGUGGCUCGCAUAAGACUGGAAACACGGUAGGAGUGUUUGGGGAAACCUGUUUGAAGACAAUCAUUCCCGCUGUUCUGUUUGGUGUCACUAAUGGUGCUGUAGUUUGUAUCAGGGUCACUGUUUCCUGUGUCAGUAACAUACUUUGUAAUCAGAGAGCCAGCGAGAGGAAGGUUAUGGUGUUGAUGGAUGCUUGCUGAGACUUGGCUUUCUAGCAGACUUGAGUUUGUCAAGCAUGCUUUUUGGUAACAAUUUGUCUACUUAAUCUGUCUCUGAGGGCUUGGACUUUGAAGACUCUUGUGUUCCUGUGGCUCAGUGGUAGAGCAUUGUGUUGGCAGCGCAAAAGGUUGUGGGUUCGAUUCCCAGGGAACACGUUAGGUAAAAAGUGUUAGCCUAAAUGCACUGUAAGUUGCUUUGGAUAAAAGUGUCUGCUAAAUAUGUAAAUGCAAAGACUCUUGUGUAUGUUUGUAGGACAAAAUAACCUGAUAUUUUCCCUUUAUUCAUAUAAUAUACAAAUUAC